rfam:Equus caballus chromosome 12, whole genome shotgun sequence.
GGACUUGAGAGCAGCCUGGCUGUGGGAUGUGUCACUCUGUUUUCUGGAGUGUAGCUGGCCUGGCUGGCAGGGCGUGUGUUCACCUUCUGCACGCGUUGCUCUGUGUGUCUUGGACCUGAAGCUUAGUGCUUGGUGGCAGGUGACGGCCUGCUCAGUUAGGGAAUGGUUCUUCCUUGGCCAUGGAGGGAUGAGUAAUGCAUUCCCCAGCUAGGACGUCCAAGUACGUCCAAGAAACUAAAGCAAGACAGUUGCCCUUCCUUUCUCCCCAAAGCAGGAUAAAGAGAGAGAUGGGUUCACAGGGUAGAGGUUUUUGGUCCUUUCUU